UGCCAAGCUGAUGAGCGGAUUUAAAGAAGAAACAGAAAGAGCCUAAUAUCCCAUACUCAUUGCUACUGAACACUGCCCCUUCCCUUUCCCUUCUUAGGAGGAGCUGUGGCUUCACCCCCAGCCCCUGGGGGCUUUCCUUGAUCUGGGUCUCUGGCAUGACUGGGGUUGCUGAGGCUGUGGGGCAACAGAAAUGGGAUGAGUAACAGUGUCAGGGUCCUGGAGGUGGUCCUCCUAGAAAACAGCCACAGGCCCAGUUACCUGGGCCAUGUCUCUGUGCUUCGUAUACAGCAUCUCAUUGUAUUCCUUCAACAACACUGUGGAGUGGGUACUGUUAUCAUACCCAUUUUACAGAUGAACAAACGUAGGCUCAGAGAGACAGAGUGACAUGCAAGAGAUCCCUUGGUUGCCAAGUCUGACCUGCUGGAGGGUGGCAGCCACUGGGAUCUAGUUUCUAUUCAGCUAUAUCCAGAUCUGGAGAAAUGCUACUGAUUUUGUACCCUCAGAUACACUUCAGGAAACCACACAACAAAUUGUAAACUGAAGAGGACAGAUGAGAAAAACCACUGUGAUGCCCGCCUGCUGAUUGGUUCCCAGGGACAUGGCAGAAUCUCUAUACCAUCACCCUCUGGCACGGUUGGUGCAGCCAUCAUCCCCCAGGAGUGACAACUGAGCCCAGUCAAGGACACUCUCAGAUACGCCUCCUCACAGUCAGGACACCCUAUGCUCCUUGCCCUCCACCCCCAGCAAUAAAAUGGCAUUUCUGCACCUUC